CCUCAGUGAUGAACAAACACAGAUGACGAGUCUGAUAUCCAUUCUUUUAAAAAGUGUGAAGACAAAACGAGGCAUUUGUCUGAGAGGA
rfam:Solanum lycopersicum cultivar Heinz 1706 chromosome 2, whole genome shotgun sequence.